CAGAGUGGCAGGGGUGCAGCCCAAAGGAGAAAAACUAUCUGCUGAAAUCAAGAACUAAACUCAGUUGCUUGAAGUAUUUUAGCCAACGUUUUUAUCCACCCACAUUUUGACUCGCCCAGGAUAAAGAAUCGAAACGGAGGUGGUAGUCAAUGCUGCCACCAUGAAAGCCAAAUGUCGCAUGCACACUAUCGCCCGGAGGGAAUUUCGUUUUGUUGCAGCGUAGGUUGGCAGUUACUAAAAAACUUAAGGAAGUCCAUUCGCGGAAAAUCGACUUGAGUCAAUGCAACCGCGCAGUUGCAAAGUCGUGGGGCGUCAUCAUAAAACGCAUCUUGGCGUGAUUAUCCGUCAAAAUUUUCAGUCAAAAAAAUUGCACAUAUCAAAAAGAAAACUGCUGGGUUCUCGAUUAGUAAGCAUCCUGUAUUAAAAAAUAAUUUAAUUUGUUAGUCCAACGAGGUUUGAUCAAUGACAUUUAUACACUGCACUGAUAAAAUGUUCAGUCUCGGUUCCCAUUAUCAGAUCGUUCGCCCCCCCCCCACCGAGUUUACUUGAUCCAUUAUUAUUUAUCAGCAAGUUGAUUACCUUUCUGUUGCGUUCAGUAUGCCUAUAUGCACCGACAUACUCAUUUAGUGAUACUGUCAAUAACCUGUGCACUUAGAGGGGCCGUUGCGCGGUACUAAAUUCAAUAUGAAUCAUAACCCAUAUUCUCUCUUCACAUUUUUCAUUUUCAUCAUGACUCCAUUUAGAAUUUUAUUUAUUGCAUUUUUUGUUUCUGAGGCACGAUCCCUAUUACAACAGUCAGAAUCAGACGACUAUGGGUUUUUGAUCGAUAAAGGACCUACUUCGGAUUCCAAUUUAAAAUAUAAUGCAAAACUGCGGAAAGAGGCCGAGUCCCUCGCUGCGUUCUGCUUCGGUGCGAAGAAAGACGCCUUCUGCACGGAUCAAUGUAGGAGAGUAGCCCGGAUCUCCGUGCAGAGGAUCUGCCAGGAUCGGAAGCAGUUCUUGUCGGACACGUACAAGGAGCUGGUGCCCUGUGACCACGUCGGGCCGGGAGUCUGUCGCUGGUUCAGGUGUCACUGCCAUCCUCUCUCUGAGCCCAACGCAACGAAGGUCACGGAGGACACGGAGGUCACGCUCGGCUUUUGCAAGAAAACGCUCCUCAGGUAUUUCGAACUCAACAAGGAGCUCGGGACGGUUGGCUUCCAAAAGGAUUGAUCGAUCGCCCGAAAAAAAGAAAAAGAGUUGCGGAGAUAGGUGCGUGAUGGACUGAGAUCGUAGGGUCUCUGACGAAUGGGAGAUGAAGUCGCACAAGACAUCGGAGGACAGAGAAGAGGAGAAGGCAGAAUAGGAAAAAUGAGAAGCAGGAAGAAGUGCGAGGAUCUCGAUUGAAGAAGAUACCUCUGGAAAAG
rnacentral:lncRNA from 1 species